rnacentral:rRNA from 1 species
UUAAAUGCAACGCGAAGAACCUCCCUUGGCCUUGACAUGGUAAGAACCUUCCAGAGAUGGAUUGGUGCCUUUGGGAAUUUAGAUCCAGGUGCUGCAUGGCUAUCUUCAGGUCCCUUCUUGUGAUGUAAAGUUAAGUCCCGCCACGAGCGCAACCCUUUUCCUUAUUCACCAGCGGGUCAAGCCGGGAACCUUAAGGCUAUUUUCCCCGACAAACCGGAGGAAGGCGGUGAGGACGUCAAGUCAUCAUCGCCCUUACGGCCAGGGCUACACACGUGCUACAAUGGUCGGUCCAAAGGGUUGCUACCUCGCGAGAGGAUGCUAAUCUCAAAAAGCCGAUCGUAGUCCGGCUCGCAGUCUGCAACUCGAGUGUGUGAAGUUGGAAUCUCUAGUAAUCGCGCAUCAGAAUGCCGCGGGAAUACGUUCCCGGGCCUUGUACACACCGCCCGUCACACCAUGGGAGUUUGUUGCCCCAGAAGUAGGUAGUCUAACCGCAAGGAGGUC